GAAAAUAAUUAAGCUUAUUAUUUAGUUUUAUCAUCAUCUCUUAGAGACAGAGAAGAAGAAGAAAAAACGGGAGGCAACAUAUCUCACAUUCAAGACGACGAAUCUUCACAUGAACACAAGUCUCGCGUCGUUGCCUUCCAUUCCAAGCAUCAAUGGAACACCCACUUCGCUGCCUCCAAAGACAGCAAUAAACUUGUAAGUAAUUAUAAUUAAGCUUUUUAAAGAGUUUGUAGGCUUUGUAAUUCAAUUGUUUAAGUAAUAACUGAUAUAACAGAAAUAUAGUUAGAAGGGUAUUAUUGUAAUUUCAUUUCCUAAAGUUCAAUUGUAUACAUUUUCUCCAAUCAAUCAAUACAAUCUCUCUUGUUUCUCUCUAUCAUCUUCCUCUUCAUCUGUACCAAUUCUUCAUCUUUUGUAAUGUAGUUAAUAUAGUCUGAGAGCACCAAGGCUCACGCCAUGGAUCUUGGUGAUCGAUUCCUCUUCUCUCAUUACUUUCUAACCUUCUUCAUUACUUUCUUUUGUUUCCGCGUAUUUGAUCGUUUAUGCUUCCAUAUUCAUAGUUCUUAUUUUUGGUCUCUGGAUUUUUCCGCCGAGGGUUUUGUGUUUAGUUUUGGGGUUUUUCCUCUGGGUUUCAAGAUGAAGCCGGUGAGACCAACACGGCACCACUACUUGACCUUCACAUGGAAGACGUCGGCCCUUUCCUCUUCCUUCACCUUUGGAACAACCACCUUCAGCAUGCCAUUCUUCAUCUCCGCCUUGAUAUUAUCAGUCUUAAACCCCUUCUCCGGCAGUUCGAUUCCGGUGUUGUACCUCUGAGCCAGGAACAGAGAGUAAACUGAAGCUGAUUCAUAGAACAGGUAGAGUGUCAUCAUGAACACGAAACAGUGGCGUUCAGGGCUUCUGCUAAAUCGGCGGUGGAGAGAGGGGAGGAUAGCUAAAAUUCGUAGGGGUUAGGGUUUUCAUGAAGACUGCAUAGUUUCAGAACUUGGGGAUAUGAAAUUCGAAAGAAAUUAGGGAUUUGAGAGAGAUUUAGUCUAUGAACAGAGAGUGUCGGUCAAAAGAUUACGGUGCCAAGAUCCAUCUUCUUUCUACUGUGCAAAUCUCAAUUCGGUGGUGAUUCUUUCUGUUAUUCGUCUGGGAAUUUCUCUUCUUCGUUGCUGAUUGGAAAGUGGGAUCUUGGACUCUGUCAGGCAUGAUAUGGACAACAUUCUUUACAUGAGCAACCUUGAGAAGUGAUGCAGCAUCCGAAGGAAAAGCAACACGUGCCCCAGCAGCAAAAUGCAGCAGCUCUUACCAUCCUAUCAGCCUUCAUAGGACUACGGUUUAGCUUCAACAGUAGUAAAAUGGUUACUUGUAAUUGUUCCAACAAGCUUACUGUUAGGUUAUUCCAAAGUUGAUGUAGUUAAAAGUGCUACAAUGUUGGAUCAUCAACUUUAUUCGAAAUUGUUACUAUCAGCAUCAAAAGUGGAACUUGUAUCAAAGAUGUGGGACUGAACAUUCAAAUCACUUUAUAUUUUCGAGAUAGCAAGGUUGUCCAAACUAUCAUACACUACUCCAAACUGCAAAAGACAGGGGUUUGGGGUUUUCUACAGCGUUUAGCUUCAUAAUAGUAAUUGCAGAUGUAUUUACAAAAGGAUUGCACAAUCCAUUGUUCUUGAAGCAUUGCAGACAUCUUAAUCUUGUAGUUCCAGAUCAGUCUCAAAUACCUGGCUAGUUCAAACUUCACUUGGAUACUCCAAGUUUAGUUUGAGGGGAGAGUAAUAACUGAUAUAACAUAAAUAUAGUUAGAAGGGUAUUACUGUAAUUGGGUAUAUGGCUAUAUAAGGGAUUGUAUAGCUUUCAUUUCCUAUAAGUUCAAUUGUAUACAUUUUCUCCAAUCAAACAAUACAGUCUCUCUUGUUUCUCUC